rnacentral:misc_RNA from 1 species
AGCGUCAUUAAACACUAUCAGGCCUCGGCUUGGAAUUGGGCCACGCCCGUGAGACGGCCGGCCCCAAAAUCAGUGGCAGUGCUAUUUGACACCAAGCGUAGUAAUUAUCGCCGCUACGGUGCUCGGGUGGUCCCUCGCCAGCAAACCCCAUUUUUCCAAUGUUUGACCUCGGAUCGUGUAGGAAUACCCGCUGAACUUAA